CCAACACCCUUUAUUUCACUUUGUAAAUACACUAGGCAAGUUCUAGACAUUUCUAUACAUGUAGAAUAUAAACAAAUACUCACACUCAUAGUGCAUACGAAAUCAAGUCGGAUCCUUAAGGUUCCCGAUCUUGAUCUUUAUUGAAUUCAAAAUUAAGCCAACAAAUCGUAUUUCACCUAUCAAGACUAAGCAAUUUACAAUUAAAUCCUUUGAAAUUUAAAACUCAAUUCAU
rnacentral:lncRNA from 1 species